rnacentral:sRNA from 1 species
GACAGAAUUCAACAAAAAGAAGGAAAAAAAAA